UACAGAGGGUGCAAGCGUUAAUCGGAAUUACUGGGCGUAAAGCGUGCGUAGACGGUUGCGUAAGUCAGAUGUGAAAGCCCCGGGCUCAACCUGGGAAUUGCAUUUGAGACUGCGUAGCUAGGGUGCGGAAGAGGGAAGCGGAAUUUCCGGUGUAGCGGUGAAAUGCGUAGAUAUCGGAAGGAACACCAGUGGCGAAAGCGACUUCCUGGUCGAAUACUGACGUUCAUGUGCGAAAGCGUGGGGAGCAAACAGG
rnacentral:rRNA from 1 species